GAGAACCUUCCAAAGUUGGGUUUGGGUCAUCAAGGUCAAGGUGAACCCCCCCGGGGUGGACAGUGGUCAUCGGGGGCGUGGUCAGCCCCCAGAGCCGGGGUUCGGCCAUUGGAACCCAGGAGAACGCUCCAAAGUUGGACUUGGGGUGUGGAGUGGCCAAAAGUUGGGUUUUGGUCAUGAGGGUGGUGGAGAACUCUAAAAAAGUUGAGGUUUGAGGUCAAUGAAUACUCAAAAUUUGAGUUUUUGGUCAUUAAAAUCAUGGAGAACUCUAAAAAGUUGGGUUUUGGUCAUCGAGGUCGUGGAGAACCUUCCAAAGUUGGGUUUUGGUCAUUGAAUGACCAAAAUUUGGGUUUUUGGUCAUUAAAAUAAUGGAGAACCUUCCAAAGUUGGGUUUUGGUCAUCAAGGUCAUGGAAAACUCUAAAAAGUUGAGUUUUUGGUCAAUGAAUACUCAAAAUUUGAGCUUUUGGUCAUUAAAAUCAUGGAGAACUCUAAAAAGUUGGGUUUUGGUCAUCGAGGUCAUGGAGAACCUUCCAAAAUUGGGUUUUUGGUCAUUGAAUGACCAAAAUUUGGGUUUUUGGUCAUUAAAAUCAUGGAGAACCUUCCAAAGUUGGGUUUUGGUCAUCAAGGUCAUGGAAAACUCUAAAAAGUUGAGUUUUUGGUCAAUGAAUACUCAAAAUUUGAGUUUUUGGUCAUUAAAAUCAUGGAGAACUCUAAAAAGUUGGGUUUGGGUCAUCAAAACCAAAGAGGAAACCCAAAAGUUGGGUUUUGGUCAUCAAGGUCAUGGAAAACUUCCAAAAGUUGGGUUUUUGGUCAUUGAAUUGUCUAAAAUUGGGUUUUUGGUCAUUAAAAUAAUGGAGAACCUUCCAAAGUUGGGUUUGGGUCAUCAAGGUCAAGGUGAACCCCCCCGUGGUGGACAGUGGUCAUCGGGGGCGUGGUCAGCCCCCAGAGCCGGGGUUCGGCCAUUGGAACCCAGGAGAACGCUCCAAAGUUGGACUUGGGGUGUGGAGUGGCCAAAAGUUGGGUUUUGGUCAUGAGGGUCAUGGAGAACCUUCCAAAGUUGGGUUUUGGUCAUCGAGGUCAUGGAAGACUUCCAAAAGUUGGGUUUUUAGGUCAUUGAAUUGUCUAAAAUUGGGUUUUGGGUCAUUAAAAUAAUGGAGAACCUUCCAAA